GACGUAGGGCGCGAGCGUUGUCCGGAUUUAUUGGGCGUAAAGAGCUCGUAGGCGGCUUGUCGCGUCGACUGUGAAAUCUCAGGGCUCAACUCUGACAUUGCAGUCGAUACGGGCAGGCUAGAGUUCGGUAGGGGAGUCUGGAAUUCCUGGUGUAGCGGUGAAAUGCGCAGAUAUCAGGAGGAACACCGGUGGCGAAGGCGGGACUCUGGGCCGAUACUGACGCUGAGGAGCGAAAGCGUGGGGAGCGAACAGG
rnacentral:rRNA from 1 species